GAGGUAUAGUCUUCCAAGCUCUUCAUAUCCAUUUCCCCAAAACCACAGUUAAAUAUCUCACAAUCUUUACCUGAAUUAACUGGAAUUGGAUUUGAUCUAUUCAAAUUUGACCUGCAAACGGCAUACUUAGCCAAAACUUCAUGCCCCACAUCAGUCUUAGAAGGCUUGUCAAGGGCUGCAACAAUACCCAAUCCAACCCCACCGAGAUCAUGGUAAUUCUUUAGACCUUUUGGUGAGUGGUUUUUGAAGUCCAGUGGACUUCUAGGACUGGUGUUAGCAUCCAUGAAUUUGGCACGGGUGCCUGCGACCAAUAAUUCCGACAAUCUUCCGAUCAUAGGAUUUGUUCUCUUGCCUAACAUCGUUAAGAUUUAUGUAAAUCUUUAUGAAAAAAGAUUAGAUGUUGGGGUGGUUUAUGUAGGAAAAAGAUAAUCACCGCAAAUGAGUUGAUUUGAUAUCUUAGGCAAGUAGGCCUAGCUCUUUCCAAUUUAUUUUAUUAUUAUGGAGUAGGUGGACCUGGGGCCAUGCUUUUUUGGAAUUAUAUAAUAAUGACGAUUCAAUUUUGAUUGUUUGC